GUCUGUUGGGGGCGGGCAGAGGCGUCGGCGCUGCCCCGGCGAGGGGCCGAGCCGGCGGGGCGCGCAGAAGCCGGCCCGAGCCCGGGCCCGAGCGCGGCUCCGCUCGGCUCCUCUGCGGCUCCCGCCGGGCCCUUCAGCCCCGGCCGGCCCCGGCGCGGCAGGGCACGAUGGCGCCCGGGCUGGGGCCGUGGCUCCUGGCCUUGUCCUUGGCCGCGGGGCCGGCAGGGCUGUGGGCGCAGCUGAGGCUGGUGGAGGACGGCGGAGGGCUGCGAGCGCCCGGGGACACCGUGCGCCUCUCCUGCCGCGGAUCCGGCUUCAACUUCGGGAAUUCCACAGUUUGGUGGUACCGUCAGGCAGCCGGCGGCAGUCUCGAGUGGGUGUCCUACAUCAGCGCUGAUUCCUCAGUGAUUCAAUUGGGGCAGUCAGUGAAGGGUCGAGCUACAGUGUCCCGGAACAGUUCCCGGUCCGUGUCAUCUCUGUCCCUGCGGGACCUGCAGCCCCGGGACUCUGCCCGCUACUUCUGUGCUGUUGCACGGGGACAGGAAAUCCAGCUGAGCUUUAACACAAACCUGCUGGGCCACAAUGUCAGAGCUGUGGGGCAAGGGGCUGCUUGGGGUGGGGGCCUCAGGGUGGUUCCCAGGCAGUGAAGUUCCAUCACUCUACACCGCAGGAGUUCCUGGCCUUUCCUGCACACUGCGGGAAUUGUAACUUAUGGUAAAUUAAAACAGAGUAGGAUUGUGAUCAACAAAAAAACUGGAAACACCUUCCCCUACACCUCCCACUUUCCUCCCUUGCUCAGCUUCAUACCUUCAUUCCCAAUUCCUCUACCUCCUCUGCCCAAGUGGCCCAUGGGUGAUGGGGUUUGAGGUGAAAUCAUAACACUUCAUCUCUACUGCUCCUUCCUCCCUCCCAUGGUCUGCAGUCCUUCACAAAUGGCUCC